rnacentral:rRNA from 1 species
AGCAGCCGCGGUAAUUCCAGCUCCAAUAGCGUAUAUUAAAGUUGUUGCAGUUAAAAAGCUCGUAGUUGAAUUUCGGGAUCAAUUAAUUGGUCGUGCCUAUGGUACGUACUGAUUUUAUUGGUUUCUCCCUUCUGACGAACCAUGAUGUCAUUAAUUUGGUGUCGUGGAGAAUCAGGACUGUUACUUUGAAAAAUUGAGUGUUUAAAGCAGGCUAACGCUUGAAUACAUUAGCAUGGAAUAAUGAAAUAGGACGUUUGAUCCUAUUUUGUUGGUUUCUAGGAUCGACGUAAUGAUUAAUAGGGAUAGUUGGGGGCAUUAGUAUUCAAUUGUCAGAGGUGAAAUUCUUGGAUUUAUUGAAGACUAACUACUGCGAAAGCAUUUGCCAAGGAUGUUUUCAUUAAUCAAGAACGAAAGUUAGGGGAUCGAAGACGAUCAGAUACCGUCGUAGUCUUAACCAUAAACUAUGCCGACUAGGGAUCGGAUGAUGUUAAUUUUUAAUGUAC